GACGAACGCUGGCGGCGUGCUUAACACAUGCAAGUCGAACGGAAAGGCCCUGCUUUUGUGGGGUGCUCGAGUGGCGAACGGGUGAGUAACACGUGAGUAACCUGCCCUUGACUUUGGGAUAACUUCAGGAAACUGGGGCUAAUACCGGAUAGGAGCUCCUGCUGCAUGGUGGGGGUUGGAAAGUUUCGGCGGUUGGGGAUGGACUCGCGGCUUAUCAGCUUGUUGGUGGGGUAGUGGCUUACCAAGGCUUUGACGGGUAGCCGGCCUGAGAGGGUGACCGGCGACAAUGGGCCUGAGAUACGGACCAGACUCCUACGGGAGGCAGCAGUGGGGAAUAUUGCACAAUGGGCGGGAGCCUGAUGCAGCGACGCCGCGUGCGGGAUGACGGCCUUCGGGUUGUAAACCGCUUUCGCCUGUGACGAAGCGUGAGUGACGGUAAUGGGUAAAAAAGCACCGGCUAACUACGUG
rnacentral:rRNA from 1 species